rnacentral:sRNA from 1 species
AUGUCCCACCCGUACACUGCGGUCUGGGCGCAUCGUCCGCAGCCACCGGGCGACCACUCGCUACGUUUUGCUAGCC